AGCCCGCGCCCCAGUCUCGUUUCCGCCGGCGACGAGCAUUCGGAGGAGGGUCCUGGUCGCGUGGCUGACGUCUGCAGUCGACCCAGGCCACCUCCCGAAAUCCGCGGACAUCCACGCCGUCCCGCAGUGUCGGCCCUCUCCGCCGCCGUCCCGAGCCGUUGGUCGCGGCACCCAGGAGUGUCAUGUGACUGCUGUCCCAUGAAUGAGAAAUGUCCUCAGGGAGAUCCUGGAUUAUGAGAUGCCAGACUUGUUAGCAACAAAUUGAUCACAGUUGGCACAUAGGAUAACACGGAUGUUACUCAUGAUCACAGACGAUCUGUAGACCCCUUCCUGGAGUUAAGUUGUUCUUGUUCCUGCGACGGCAGUGUGGCCAUUCAGGUACUCAUGGUAACAGCCCGCAUUGUCGGUGCUCUAAUCUGCUAGCUACUGUGCCGUGUUCUGUGCCCCGGGGCCUGCUACGAGUGCCCAUUGAUGGCUUGUCCCUUGCAGAUGGGUCUGCGGGUGCAGAGGUGCCAUGGGAGACGGCAGCCAUCUUCAUGUCAGUCUCCAUAUCAGCCGGGCGCUAGACCAUGGGGUCCUGAGGUGUGUUCUGUCGGAGGCACACAGCUGUGGCGCUGCCUUCACUCUGUAGACUCAGGAGAUGCAACAUGGUGCCCCUGAAAGGCAUGUCUUGGCUGAGGUGCUACCUAGUUUGGUGUGCAUACACUGGGAGCUUGGGCCUGGCUGAUCGGGGCCCUCUUGGUGAUGUCGCUUGGGGAGAAGAUGGCACUAGAGGCUGAAUGCUUGUAUGCUUCCUCCUAGGCCAGCCCUAGAUCACAGACUGUUGAAGAAAGUCCCACGGCCAUGAACCAGUGACCCUCGGGAUGAUUUGGGAGCUGGGUUUCCUGAUAUUUCUCACCAAAAUUCUCUCGGUGUUUGUGGAGACCAGAGGGGCCAAGAAUUGAGAGGCAGGUCCCCACAUGAAGCCUCACCACAGCUCUCCCCUCUGCCCACUCAGAGCAUCACGGACAGCUUCACUCCACACAAGAGAUCAGAGGGAAGCUUGGGGUCCACUUCAACCAGCUCUGCUUCUUGACAGCAGCACCCUUAGAGGGCCAGCCCAUGUCCCUCAUCCAUGCCCGAAUGACUUUAGUAGCCAAGAAUUUUUCUCUUGAAUUUGUAGCUGCUCAUCACUUUCCUCCACCACCCAUUUAAUAAACCUGACCACCGUGCCCUGUCUGCCUUUUAAAUCAGCAUCAAGCCACGUGCCAGCAAGGCUGGGCCUGGAGAAAGUGGGUCACGGGCCAGAUCUCGUUUUCAGUCCUGGCGUGUUCUCACUCUCCUGAGGCGUGGCACGAGUAGUUGUUUGAAGUGUUCAGUUAGGACUAGGAGGUGAACAAGGCAUGGUACUUGGUUCAGAUUUAGGACCCAUGACAGUUGAGGUGUUGAGGAGCAGUCAGGCCAAGGCUUUGGAAGGGUGGCUGGUGACAGAGUGGACUAGAGAGACGAUGCUGAUGUCAGAGAAAGUGGGGUGUCCUGGAGUUCUGGGGCUUGGCUCAUAAAAAAUGGCCUGCUGUUUGACCAACUGUCCAAGUUUGCCUGGGAUUGAGGGGUUUCCCAGGACGAGGGACUUGAAUUGCUAAAACCAGGUAAGUCCCAGGCAAACGGACGAGUUGGUUAACUUAUCUGGGGUGUAAAAUAAAGGUGGGAGCAGGGUGAAUGAAGCAGCUGCUGUUGGACCCUGGUGUCCUCAGGGUCAGGCUUUUUGGAGAUCUUUGGUUUAAAAUAAAAAACUGCCACAAUGUGA